CUCUAUUAAAUUUGAGAGAGAACAUGAAGCUGGGUUGCAGCUGUCUUGUUGAUUUUGUAUUUCCUCUCAUUUCAGUGCCUUGCCGUGGAGCCGAGAAUUAAAUGGCUAAUAAGGCAUCUGCUCCAAGCAGGAGUCUCAAGAUUGUGACAAAAGCAUCUUACAUCAGGGCUGAUAACACACAUUUUUAAAGAUGAGGUGGAGGCACUGAUACACUCAACUGCCAUUACAGGCCAAAUGGACCUUGGCUCAUGGCUGUCAGAAAUGGGGAUGCUUUGGCUGUGUGUUGAAAAACCCAUUAGCAACAGAGCAACGAUCAUCCCAUAUGUGAAAAACGGCUGCUGUUAACUCCACCAGACCAGUGGCUGUCCAUGUGUUCUCAGUCAAGAGUCUAUGUGCCGCAGUUGUGUUCUGGGAUAUGGAGGCAAGUACCACAUGUCUAAGACAGGUAC